GCUAAACCAGAGCACGCUUCUUUGAGGACGCUGUUACAAAUCUUGCAUCAAAAUGAUCCGAAUGCAGCCUAAAGUGCCCGGGAUGAGCGUCCCUGACCAGAAGCAGCUUGAAAAAAUGGCUAGGUCGGCAGUGUUACAAACAUUUGCGUGUUUUGUUGGAGCAGUUGUUGUUAUACGAGCACUGCCAACUGUGAUUGACAAGCUAUCAUGAGAUAAAGAGGAUGUUUUAUGAAAGACUGAAUAAUGCAGGAAAGACAAAGGUUACAGUUGGUGCACAGUGUACAUAAACAAUGUAUUUAAAAGGAGAAAAGAAUGGUACUUAUUGGAUGUCCAGUUUACCCAUUGAAGAAAUGGAUUAUGAAUGUUGUUUCAAAGGAAAAGGCUGUUUUUUUUUGUCUAAUUGUGAAUUUCACGUCUUUAUAAUGUAGAUAACAGAAAGUGGUGACUGGAACAUUGUAUAAGCAACCCAUUGGAACAGUUUUUAUUGUGUAUUCCUGGAAUUUGUGAGGACUGAUGAAGUGUAACCAUUUCAACUAUGGACAAAUAUGAAUGAUUGUGUGCUGUAUUUCAGCUGCUAGCCAGAGGACUGCAGAAGAAUUAUGAAAAGCUGUAGAAAUUAGUAGUCAAAGUCAUUUAUGUACUUUUUGUUUGUAGUUUUAUUAAAACUAGCUUGUGAAGUCUG